GCUUAACACAUGCAAGUCGAACGGAAAGGCCCUUUCGGGGGUGCUCGAGUGGCGAACGGGUGAGUAACACGUGGGUGAUCUGCCCUGCACUUUGGGAUAAGCCUGGGAAACUGGGUCUAAUACCGAAUACACCUCACUGGCUGCAUGGUCUGGUGGGGGAAAGCUUUUGCGGUGUGGGAUGGGCCCGCGGCCUAUCAGCUUGUUGGUGGGGUGAUGGCCUACCAAGGCGACGACGGGUAGCCGGCCUGAGAGGGUGUCCGGCCACACUGGGACUGAGAUACGGCCCAGACUCCUACGGGAGGCAGCAGUGGGGAAUAUUGCACAAUGGGCGCAAGCCUGAUGCAGCGACGCCGCGUGGGGGAUGACGGCCUUCGGGUUGUAAACCUCUUUCACUAGGGACGAAGCGAAAGUGACGGUACCUAGAGAAGAAGCACCGGCCAACUACGUGCCAGCCGCCGCGGUAAUUC
rnacentral:rRNA from 1 species